UUAAAAAUAAAGCCUUGCAUGUGUAAGUUUAAAGACCUAGUAAGAUGAAACUGCGGACCGGCUCAUUAUAACAAGUAAUAGUUUCUUUGGUUAGUAGGUACAAGGAUAACUUUGUGAAUGAUAAAGCUAAUACUUGAGACGAUCUGGGGAGUACUUGUACUUUCCGGCCGGUGGUCGCGAGGCUGCCGAGAAAUGACAUUCUCUUGUGAAAAAGGAUGCCACGACAAUUGAGGAAAGCGACGCUUUUUACAAGUAACCAAUGGGAAUUUCUGAUCUAUCAAUUUGUUGGUAGUAUCGAGGACUACCAAGAUUAUAACGGAUAACGAGGAAUUGGAGGUUCGACAUCGGAGAGGGAGCUUUACAGAUGGCUACCACUUCUAAGGAAGGCAGCAGGCGCGUAAAUUACCCACUUUCGACAUGAAGAGGUAGUGACGACAAAUAACUCUUGGGGCU
rnacentral:rRNA from 1 species